GAUGAAUGCUGGCGGCGUGCCUAACACAUGCAAGUCGAGCGGCAGCGAGGGAUGCUUGCACCCUGUCGGCGAGCGGCGAACGGCUGAGUAACGCGUAGGAAUUUGCCCCAAAGUGAGGAAUAACUGCCCGAAAGGGUAGCUAAUGCCGCAUAUGGUCUUCGGAUUAAAGGAUUUAUCCGCUUUGGGAGAAGCCUGCGUUGGAUUAGGUUGUUGGUAGGGUAAUGGCCUACCAAGCCGACGAUCCAUAGCUGGUCUGAGAGGAUGAUCAGCCAGACUGGAACUGAGACACGGUCCAGACUCCUACGGGAGGCAGCAGUGAGGAAUCUUCCACAAUGGGCGAAAGCCUGAUGGAGCAACGCCGCGUGAAGGAUGAAGGCCUUCGGGUUGUAAACUUCUUUUAUGAGUGAAGAAUAUGACGGUAACUCAUGAAUAAGCACCGGCUAACUACGUG
rnacentral:rRNA from 1 species